GUCUACUGCCAUGUCACCCUGAACGUACUUAAUCCCAUCUGAUAUCAGAAGCUAAGCAGGGUCGGGCCUGGUUAGUACUUGAAUGGGAGACACCUAUGAAUACUAGGUGCUAUAGGCG
rnacentral:rRNA from 1 species